GACGAACGCUGGCGGCGUGCCUAAUACAUGCAAGUAGAACGCUGAAGGAGGAGCUUGCUUCUCUGGAUGAGUUGCGAACGGGUGGGUAACGCGUAGGUAACCUGCCUGGUAGCGGGGGAUAACUAUUGGAAACGAUAGCUAAUACCGCAUAAUAGUAGAUGUUGCAUGACAUUUGCUUAAAAGGUGCAAUUGCAUCACUACCAGAUGGACCUGCGUUGUAUUAGCUAGUUGGUGGGGUAACGGCUCACCAAGGCGACGAUACAUAGCCGACCUGAGAGGGGGAUCGGCCACACUGGGACUGAGACACGGCCCAGACUCCUACGGGAGGCAGCAGUAGGGAAUCUUCGGCAAUGGACGGAAGUCUGACCGAGCAACGCCGCGUGAGUGAAGAAGGUUUUCGGAUCGUAAAGCUCUGUUGUAAGAGAAGAACGAGUGUGAGAGUGGAAAGUUCACACUGUGACGGUAUCUUACCAGAAAGGGACGGCUAACUACGUG
rnacentral:rRNA from 1 species